rnacentral:rRNA from 1 species
AAUGAACGCUGGCGGCAUGCCUAACACAUGCAAGUCGAACGAAGGCUUCGUCCUUAGUUGCGCACGGGUGCGUCACGCGUGGGAAUCUGCCCCUUUGUUUGGAAUUCCAGUUAUACAUGACUGCUAAUACCGGAUGAUUUCGUAAGUUCAAAGAUUUAUCGCCGAGGGAUGAGCCCGCGUAGUAUUAGCUAGUUGGUGUGGUAAGAGCGCACCAAGGCGACGCUCGUUAGCUGGUCUGAGAGAAAGAGCAGCCACACUGGGACGAAGAAGCGGCUCAGAAUAUUACGGGAGGGAGGAGUGGGGGAUAUUGGAAAACGGGCGAAGGGCUGAACCAGCAAGGCCGGGUGAGUGAUGAAGGCCUGAGAGUUGUAAAGCUCUUUUACACGGGAUGAUAAUGACAGUACCGGGAGAAUAAGCUCCGGCUAACUCCGUG